UCCGGUUUGUCACCGGCAGUCUCCUUAGAGUGCCCACCAUUACGUGCUGGUAACUAAGGACAAGGGUUGCGCUCGUUACGGGACUUAACCCAACAUCUCACGACACGAGCUGACGACAGCCAUGCAGCACCUGUCUCAAUGUUCCCGAAGGCACCAAUCCAUCUCUGGAAAGUUCAUUGGAUGUCAAGACCAGGUAAGGUGGGGAUGACGUAAGUGACCUUUGC
rnacentral:misc_RNA from 1 species